UGGGGAGACCUUUGGUGCCGUAUCCGGAAAGGUUUUGCUGAAGGAUUUUUGCAGCUGUCCCACAUACCCAUCUCUUGUGCACCAGGAGCCUCUGAGCCUUGUGUGGAAGUCCACGGGACGGUGAAGUCACUGUGGAAUUUUGCACCGUUGACUUCAGUGCAGGAUUUCACUCUUACAUUCUGACUCAGAUCCAUUUGAGAAUGACUUUGUUUACAUCUGACAAUAACUACUGAUCAGUGCUUAGUGAUUACAGGAUAGUUCAGGUGCUGUAAGGACACAAAGUUGGCACUGAGUCUGUACAAUGUUUGUCAGGUGAAACCUUUUCAUUUGAGAUACAAAAUAAACCUCUGAAAUUAAAAAAUAA